GCUGCUGCUCUCCUGCGUGGUCAGGGCGUCGGAAUCCUGCUGGCCCUGGGUUGGGAUCACUUCUUUCACCUCAGAGAAGCCGCUCAUCAUCCCUGGUUGUCCAGUACCUUGAAAGAAAAAGUGCCUGUUAUCAGCCCCCAGAGGAGGUCCAGCUGUGCAUCCCUAGGAGAAAUGACAGCGGGUCACUAUGGCAGUGGCAAAAUGUUCAGGAGACCUUUGUUGCCUUGUAAUUCCAGGAACAGAUGAUUCUUUGGGAUUGGGACUUGAAGCAGUGGUGUAAACCUCAUUACCAGAAUUCCAGAGGUGGAAAUGGAGUUGAUCUUUCAGUGCUAAAUGAAGCUCUCAAUAUGGUGUCAGAUCUUCUGAAUGACCCAAGCCCUUCCUCCACAAGUCAUUUCUUCCCUAGGAAGAAUGAGUAGCUUGAUGAGUGCAUUCUCUGGAUCUUGUAGGCCAAAGAUUAAUCCUCUCACACCAUUUCCUGGAUUUUACCCCUGCUCUGAAAUAGAGAAUCCAACUGAUAAGGAGAAAACUUUAUCAAGGAUCAAAGGAG
rnacentral:lncRNA from 1 species